AGCCACAGCCAUAUCACCCUGCAGCCCAAGACUGGUUGCUCACUGAAGCUAAGCAGGGUUGAGCCUGAGCAGUACCUGGAUGGGAGACCUCUUGGGAAAACUAGGUUGCUGUUGGAA
rnacentral:rRNA from 1 species